CACACGUCACACACUCACACCCUGUCGAUUCACAUAAAAUCCCACUUGUGCUAUCCAACCCCAAAUUGUUCCUGAAACAGGUGGACAUUUUGAGUUGAACUGCUGCAUUCUUCCUGGGAAUCCAGACGUCACAGAGCAUUGUGCUGUAUACAACAUACAAAACUCUGGAACAUCAUGAAUGUGAACAUUACAAUGAAGCUAGGUCAGUCUACAAGCCUUUUGAAUGGCUACAAGGCAGACAUCUGUCCAGCACAGCCGUUUUACACUUCGAGUAAGCCUGCCCUCUACGAGCAGGAUGUUAUAAUUGAGAACCCGGAUCACGAUGCCAAGUGGUCAUCACCUAUGAUCAGUUUCCAUAAGAAUAUCGAGGAUCUCCUCAGCGCCAUCCAGCUGAUCAAGCUGCGAGUGAUGUCUUUCGAAGACAAACCAAGCGAGGGGGGUGCAGCAGCAGUUUGGCCUGCGGGGGCUCUUAUCCUUGCUGGGUUAACACCCUCCGGACAAAGGAAAGCACUCAAAGACCUUUCCGAGCAACUGGGGCUCGAUUUGGCAACGGAGCAAUGGUCCUACGCUUUGGUCCAGCGCUCACGCAAGGUCGGAACCGCAACCCAUCCUUGCUAUGAGAGGGGCAUUUUCGGUAAUCCAGAUCCCUCCAACAUUACGAGGCCUGAGACCUUGACUGCCCUCAAAUCUCUAGAGAAGCUGGGGAAGCAAUCCACCAAUGUGAGUAUGAGUGGAGCCAACGGAUACCUUCGUUUUUACGAAACCUUCGGUUCGCACUUUGUGUCCAAGGUUGACGUUGGCGACUCGAUCUUCCAGGUUUUUGCUUUUGCAGAAACUGAAUACAAAAAAGUCGUCGAUGUCUACACGGACCGUCCCAAUGACCUUAGCGGUCUUGCUGCCCAGUCAUUUGCCCUGUUCACAACCCCUCGUAAUGACGCCGGUUAUGGCCGCACGGCAGCCAUCAGCAACAUCUGCAUCAUCAGCAAAGACCCCUUAUUGGAGACGUCUCUCAAAGAUGGACUCUGGUUUGAUAGUACCUAUGCUGGAACAAACAGCAUCUUUGCGCCAUUCCUCCGUUCUGAUGCAGUGAAUGUCAACACCCUCUUCAAGAAGGUCGUCGCUAUAUCAGUCGAGUUGGCUUCUCUUGGAGUCUUCGCUGAGUACUACCGCAUGCUUAUAUGGCGCCGCAUCUUCAAGGGCGCCAUGUAUACUAAAUACGUGAAUGGUUCAGGGGUGGCUCCUCACUUCAGCAACAACUGCCCCUAUGAUCUGAAGUCGGUGUUCAAGGGUUCCAACCUGAUAAGCGGUGACGGCCUUCUUUCUACACUUGCUACACCUACCGUCAAUGUCUGGCAGGAGUUGAUUGAACUGGAUAUGAUCAAAUUGCAGUUCCCAGACCUGGUGAAGACCUUCAGUGUGUUUGCAAGUGGAAUCCAGAUACCAUCCCCCAACGACAAUACAGCCAUUGAUAUUCCUGGUACGUGUACAGUUACGCUGCUUGGACACGUGAUCUCAAGUGGGGGUUCUGGGCCUGUGCCUCCUAAUCUUCGCCUCCAAGGUUCCUCAUUUAAAGAAAUUGAGAGUCGUCUCUUUUGUGGUGAGUUUUACGGGGGUCUACAGAUCAGCAGUUGUGAAGGUGGUGGUGAUCUCUGCGUGGUCAUGAAUGGCCUGAUGUUCCAGGAAAGCAAAGGAAAGGUUUCAGUGGUACGCGAUGUCAGAGAGCCUCCGACAAUAAAUGUUCUCGCUGAGCACCUGACCGAUAUCCAGUUUGCCCUGAUUGCGGCGGAGUCCCGUCUCAACUUUCUACUGGCAAGCCCCAAUCUUCAGUGUCAAAGUCUACAGCUCGUGAAGCAGUUUUUGAUUUGGCUUGCUGGGGUGGCAGGCAGUCACUCUCAGUACCAGGACAGCCAGCUGGGUGCUUUAGAGGCCAGGGCAACGUACCUUGCAAAUGUGGCCAUCAACAGCCAACGGGCUGGGCCGCCCGUUCCUUAUCUGCGGUAUGAAGCAUACAAAGAUGUAGUGAACAACGUCCAGAAUGUCCUUCUUACAGCUUCCGAUCAGUUGAAAGACUACCAGAACAGAAUUAUGGUGAGGAAGGCUGAGGAGCGUGCGGUGGACAGAGAUAAGGCCCUCAACGAAAACAUCAUCAGAUCUGGAAAACUUCUCCAAGACUACAUCAGCACACAGGCCAAUUACCAGCAGAACAUGGAACACAUGUUUUCCAGUAUCAGCAAGGAAAAAGAGAAAGAGAUGGACACGGCCAUCCAGCAAGUAGCCAAGUUGAACGUCAGCCUAGUCGCGCAGCGCACUGCUGUUGAAGAAGCCAUCAUCAACUACCAAGAUGCUGUCAGUGACUGGCAGAAGCAGGAGAUAAUCAAGGCUGCCAUUAACAUAGCCUCCAACAUAUUUUCCCUUGCCUUCACGAUGGCUGCACCAGCAACGUCAAUUCUUGCUCUCGAGAGUCUUGGUAAAACAGUGCAGAAAAUACAGAAAUUAGUCCAGGUGUUUGAUGCCGUCAUCAAGACCUACAAAUCCAUCAAGGCCCUUCCCUCAAACCCACAGCAGGUUGUUUGUGCAUUGAAGGACAUAGGUCCAAAUGGCCUGGAUAUGCCUUCCUCACUCGAAUGGGAUGAAAUGAAGGUCAACUUUGAUGCCACUCUCUCAACUGGACCAGACAUUGGUGCAAAGAUCUCACUUUCCGCUGCCUUUGCAGUCCUUGUCCUUCGUGGUAAAAUGCUGCUGCAAGCUCAGAAAACCGUUCAGGAAAUUGCGGCAGAUCUGUCGUCAGCUCAGCAGCGAAUCACACUCCAUAACAACCAAAAGAGGCGACUUGAUGAUCUGAAGGCCAACCUGAAUGCGAAAACCAGAGGAGCUUGAUGUCAGUAAAAUUGACCUGAUUGGGCUGUCCGGUCAGCUGGUUUUCUUUGAGCGUCAGAUGCUGAUGACUUUGGCGUCCACCCUGGUCAUACAGGACAGGGCCUUGCAGUAUGAGUAUCUUCGUCCACCGACUCCAAUCAAUUCCUUCACGAUGCUUGAUCUGCAGCUUGCUAUAUUCAAUCAGUCACAAAGUAUCAACCAAGGAAUGACAGCUCAACCACUACCAACACAUCACGACCUCCCAAUCAUAUAUGAAAUCCAUGGUGUCAAACCGGAAAGCAUCAUCAAUGGAAAGCACUUCACAUUUAACAUUUCUUGCAACAAUCGCGAGUUUGCACCAUACAACUACGUCCGUGUGAAGAGUGUCCCCCCCCCCCCCCCCCCCCCCCCCCCC
rnacentral:lncRNA from 1 species